rnacentral:siRNA from 1 species
UCAUCUCUUGGUGGUCCGCCUA